rnacentral:rRNA from 1 species
AUUAGGUAGUUGGUGUGGUAAUGGCGCACCAAGCCGAUGAUCGGUAGGGGGCGUGAGAGCGUGGCCCCCCACACUGGCACUGACACGCGGGCCAGACUCCUACGGGAGGCAGCAGUGAGGAAUAUUGCACAAUGGGCGAAAGCCUGAUGCAGCAACGCCGCGUGGGCGAUGAAGGCCUUCGGGUUGUAAAGCCCUUUUCUGAGGGACGAGGAAGGACGGUACCUCAGGAAUAAGCCUCGGCUAACUACGUGCCAGCAGCCGCGGUAAAACGUAGGAGGCGAGCGUUAUUCGGAUUUACUGGGCGUAAAGCGCGUGCAGGCGGCUUUGUAAGUCGGACGUUAAAUCUCCUGGCUUAACUGGGAGGCGUCGUUCGAAACUGCAGGGCUUGAGGUUGGGAGAGGGAAGCGGAAUUCCCGGUGUAGUGGUGGAAUGCGUAGAUAUCGGGAGGAACACCUGUGGCGAAAGCGGCUUCCUGGCCCGCACCUGACGCUAAGACGCGAAAGCGUGGGGAGCGAACGGGAUUAGAUACCCCGGUGGUCCACGCUGUAAACGAUGGAUACUAGGUGUUGGUGGUAUUGACCCCACCAGUGCCGUAGCUAACGCGUUAAGUAUCCCGCCUGGGGACU